AGAGUUUGAUCAUGGCUCAGAUUGAACGCUGGCGGCAUGCCUUACACAUGCAAGUCGAACGCGAAAGCGGGGGCAACCCCGCAAGUAGAGUGGCGAACGGGUGAGUAAUACAUCGGAACGUGUCCAGUAGCGGGGGAUAACCUCUCGAAAGAGAGGCUAAUACCGCAUACGACCUACGGGUGAAAGAGGGGGAUCGCAAGACCUCUCACUAUUGGAGCGGCCGAUGUCGGAUUAGCUAGUUGGUGGGGUAAAGGCUUACCAAGGCGACGAUCCGUAGCUGGUCUGAGAGGACGACCAGCCACACUGGAACUGAGACACGGUCCAGACUCCUACGGGAGGCAGCAGUGGGGAAUUUUGGACAAUGGGGGCAACCCUGAUCCAGCCAUGCCGCGUGCGGGAAGAAGGCCUUCGGGUUGUAAACCGCUUUUAGCCGGGACGAAAGCUGUACGGAUAACACCCGUGCAGGUUGACGGUACCGGCGGAAUAAGCACCGGCUAACUACGUGCCAGCCGCCGCGGUAAUAC
rnacentral:rRNA from 1 species